ensembl:snRNA U6 U6 spliceosomal RNA
UUCCUGCUCUGAUAGGACGUACACUAAAAUUGGAAUGAUGCAGCAUGACCCUUGCUUAAGGAUGACAUGCAACUUUGUCAGGCAUGCUGUAUUUGC